rnacentral:lncRNA from 1 species
GAAAUACGUACACAAAAGAAACACAACGACAAAAUAACAAGCCAGUAAGGCAACAAAGCUAUAACAAGCACAAUCUCCCACAAAACACUAAAACAACACAUACCUAUAUAUAGGACCCUCAAUCAGAGGCAACUAGAAAACACCUGCCUCCAAUUGAGAGUCCAAUCCCCAAUCAACUAAACAUAGAAAUACAAAGAACUAGACUAAACAUAGAAAUGCAUUAACAUAGACCGGUGCCCAAAACCCAGAAUAAUAAAUCAAACACACCACUAAACACACAACCACCCCGAACCACAUAAAACAAAUGCCCUCUGCCACGUCCUGGCCAAACUACAAUAACAAAUAACCCCUAUUACUGGUCAGGACGUGACAAGAAUAAUAGUGAAGACAUCAAAACUAUGAAAUAACACAUGGAAUCAUGUAACCAAAAAAAGUGUUAAACAAAUUAAAAUAUAUUUUAAAUGAGAUUCUUCAAAUAGCCACCCUUUGCCUUGAUGACAGCUUUGCACACCGGUUGUGUGUGUGUGUGUGUGUCAGUAUAUAUAUAUUUUUAUUUUUUUUCUUCCUUUGGCCUUACUGCUGUUAGCCCAUACAAACGCAUUGAAUAACAGAUUCAGUAUAUGGAACAACAAAUAGUCCCAAAAAUGUUUUUGAAGAAAGUUUGUUCUGAAGUGUCUGUCUUAUGUUUGAAAGACAUUAGAAAGAUCAAACACUAAACUGUCUCCAUAUAUACUUCCAUACAUUUUUUUAAACUGACACCAGGGGACCUUCAGACGAUUCAAAACAGAUAUCUCUUUAAACUGACAGAUUUUUAUGGGUAUUUUUUAAUAUGCAAAUUGUAUUUCCGUGGGGCCGCGAUAUCGACUCUAGGGGGUUAAUCUGGGGAAAAUGGGUUAAUCUGUGGACAACGGAAGGGUUGGAGUAAAAAUCUGAAUCAAUUGGUGAAAAUCCAGCGUUUGCAGAAAGAGGAAAUUAGGAAUAUAUGUAUAAUUAGUACAUGUACUGUAUAUUUGAGCGAAAAUAACUAAGUGAGAUAAGCCGACGUACUUACACUCUGGCUGUCAAUGCACUGUUAACAUCUGACUCCAGAGUGAUGUGUUCUUGCAGUCAUGUUUCUUAACUUUGUAUAUGACAUUUCAGAUUUAAAUAUACUGUUUCACACUUAAUAACUUAAUAAAGAGCUACAGUUAGUUUCGGAAUGGGUAGCAAGGAAUAAGUUAGUCCUAAAUAUUUCCAAAACUAAAAGCAUUGUAUUUGGGACAAAUCAUUCACUAAACCCUAAACCUCAACUACAUCUCGUAAUGAAUAAUGUGGAAAUUGAGCAAGUUGAGGUGACUAAACUGCUUGGAGUAACACUAUAUUGUAAACUGUCAUGGUCAAAACAUACUGAUACUAGAGUAGCUAAGAUGAGGAGAAGUCUGUCCAUAAUAAAGCGCUGCUCUCCCUUCUGAACAACACCAUCAACAAGGCAGGU